GGGCCCCAGUGAGCAGCAGAGCUGAGAACCACACACAGGCCAUUUCUGUGUACCGACACGAUGCAGAUCCACAUUUAAGCCACCCAGUUAGCCUAGACCCAGAGUCAUGUCCUUAGACAUCUAAAAUUCAGCAGCACCAGGUAUUUUAUUUGUCUAACUCAUAACCCGUAUUUAAUCAGCCAGCCUGUGUCUAGAUGGGCCACCACGUUUUCUUCCUCAGUCAGGUUGAGAGUUGCCUGGCACAGGAGCCUGCCUUGCCCACUGUGCCCAGACAGCGCCCGCCACGUAGCAGGUGCCAGUCUCAUGUUACUUGCAUUAAACAGAUGCUUGCAGCAGAAGGUAUAGUACUGAAGUAAUGCAUUUUUAUCUUAACUUUCAUUUACUUUCUUCCCUUAAAAUUGAUUCCAUUCUUGAUGUGACUUUCAGCUGUCAGCUGUCUGCACUCCCAGAUGAGGUGAUGGCCUGGCACCAACGGAGCAUUGCCCUGAUGAAUCAUGGUCAAGGGAACAAUUACCACCUUGAGGAAUGAGGCCCGAAAGCUGAGUCUCUGCUAUGGCAUCCGCCUUCUUCUCACGAAGACCUGCAGCUUGAAAGGAGGGCAGGGAGAAGGAGCCCAAAGCUCCAGGAAGACCAAGCCCAGCUGCUAUGAUGAUUCCAAGGAAAUUCAGGAAAUCCUUGCUAAUGGCCAAACUUCCCCGGUUUGAGAUGCAAAAGGAAAUCAGAUCCCCAGGUUUCGCCCGCCCCAGGCCACAUGACCAGUGCUGCUGUUUCCUGCAUAGCACACAUGGGGAACCCUGAAAGCAUGCUGCUAAAUGAAAGAAGCCAGGUACAAAAGGCAACAUACUAUAUGAUUUCAUAAGAAAUGGAUAUAACAGGAAAAUCUACAGAGACAGAAGAUAAAUUCGUAGUUGUUUAGGGGCUGGGAGAGUGGGGUGAGGCCUCUCUAUAGAGGUGGCAAUGCCCAGGAUUUCUUUGAAGAUGUUUAGAUAUCACAGUGUAAUUGGACAACAGUGAGGAAGUCUGGAGUUAUAGCUUCUAUAGCUCCAUGCAAUAGAAGGGAAGUAAAACCAGAUCCCAACCUGCCUCCAGUCACCUGAUUCAGCAAAGUCAAAGUCACAAAUCAAUAGGGACAGGAUGGUCUUUUCAGUAAAUGAUACUGUAUCAUUGACUCAUCAUAUAGAGAAAAAAUGAGCCCUGGUCCCGUGCACACAGAAGACAUAAAAGUUCCUUCAAAGUGGAUCUUAGAUCUACAUUCAAAAACAAAAGCAACACAGGGUCCGGGAGAAAGGGUCCAGGCAGGAGAAUAUUUAUAUGACCUUGGGCUAAGCAAGAGAUUCAUAAACAGGACAUAAAAACCACUAACCACCAAGAAAAAAUGACUGAUAAAUAUGACAAUUGAAGGAUUUAUGUUUCUCAAAAAUAAAAAGGGGAACCAUCGACUGGGAGAACAUAUUUCUGAUACUUAUAUCUAACCGAGAAUUUAUAUUCAGGUUAGAUGACUCAAAAACAAAAACGCAAGCAAUCCACUAAGAACAAAUUCUGAUCAGAAGACUUCACAGAAGAUCUACAGAUGGCCAGUGACCUCAGGAAAACACGGAUUAAAACAACAAGGAGACACACCCACAAGCUCCGUGACAGUUUUGAAAAUGAAAUGAAACCCUGAGGUUGGCAGAAUUCUAAGGUGGUGUCCCAGAUUCCCACCCUUGGUAUCUGUGCCCCACACUACCCACUUGAGUAGGGGAAGACCUGUGAAUAUGAUGGGUGUCUCCUCUGUGAUCAGGUUACAUCGUAUUUCAAGACGGAGGGAUUUGGUGAUUAAGGUCUCUAAUCAGUUUACCUUCAAGUUCAUCAAAAGUCAGAGUGGCGGAGGUUGGCCUGAGCUACUCAGGUGACCCCUUUAAAAGAGAGCUCAGGCCUGCCCUGAGCUUGGAGAGAUUUUCCAGCUAGAAUUGAAGAAGCAAGCAGCUGUGAGUUCAGCUUCACAGGAACGAAUUUGGCCAACAGUCAUGUGAGCUCCAUUAGAAAUGUACCCCAAGCCCCCUCAACCUCUCCCAUCCCCAACAGCACCAAUCUACUGAUUAUCUAUACAUGAUAGCGGGGCAGGAACAAGACUCUGGGCCCCGUGAGGACAGACUUGUCUGUCAGUGCAUUUAACUAUCUGUCCCAGAACCUUGCACAGAGCCUGGCACAUAUCAAGAACACAGCACAUUUUAAUUGAGACAGGCUCUUUAAAGCUGGAAUCUAAAACCAAUAGCCCCUAAAUUCAGCAAAAAAAAGUUAAUGUAACACCUGUGCUUUAUUACCUGUUUCUACAGAUAGAAGGGUUGGUUGUAUGUGGCUAUCACAAGUGAAAUGCAGAAUUAGUUAAUAAAAUUUUCAUCUGAAUUUAAAGAAAAAUCCU
ensembl:lincRNA